ensembl:lncRNA
CCCAACAAUAGAUAAUUUAACUCGUAGCAAGGGGUACACAUGAAGACUCCUCACCAAGAGGGAAGCACUAGAUAGAACAAAAAUUAAACAAUUAUAGAAGACUGUUAACUGAGAUUGUAAGCCGCAGCCAGGCAAAACGCGUUUCCACCAAAAAAUACCCGGCUUGGUCAAUAUUGGCUUGGUCAAUAUUCGUUUGAAAUCGGAAAUCAAAUAUUGGAAGUCAAAUAUCAAAACGAACCGUUUUCUGUUGAUCUGUUAUCCUAUUUUAAGACAUAAUCCAUAAUCCAAUGACCGAAAGUUCCACGGACCCACAACAUUCUCUCUGCUUCAUAUUGAAAAUGUGUAAAUGUAGGUGGGGAAAGACGGGGUAGUGCAGAAUAGGGUCCGCGGAAAACGAAGUACUCUGUUGGUUCUCUGUCACUCUGUUUUCUGUGGGAUAAGUAAUGAACGAAUCGGUUACAAAUUACCAUACACAGAUCAUCGUACACGGACCAACGACACUUGGGGAAAUCUGUCAAUGUUUCCCUUACCGAAAACGGAUAACGAGCAAGUAAAUCAAAACAAAUAUUAGUUUGCCUGUUUAGUUAAUAACGAUUGGCCACUCCAUAGACACACGGUCAAGCGUUUGUUGUGUCUGCUUGUUUCGUUUUUGACGCUACAAUGAUUUGUACUCAUGUACACGGAUCCCAGCGAAUGCAGGCGGAUGUCAAGCCUAUGUCCGAGGAAACUGGAGGAAACGCCUAACAUACCUUUUUAAACAUAAACAAGACGGAAUGAACGGAAUUGUUGGUUCAUCAUGCCCCCGUUUUGUUCUACUCGUCGUUUAUUCGGGAUUUCUCACUAACGACCUCCGGCUGACAGCCUUGCCUAAUACACCGUUUGACCCAAGUUUUUGUCUGCAUAACGCAGCAUGCUGUUCACUUCUUCAAUUGUUCCAUACAUUCAUCCAAUGAAUCCACAUCAGGGUUUUCUUGAGCACCUUAUCAAUUCGGUUCUGCAGUCUUGUUGUUGCAGUCCUUACCGCUUCGCGUAUCCUUUUCGCUCUUAUAAGCUGGUCAGUGGACAUGUUUGCUCCUGUUUAUCUCCACAUUCUUCAGAGUAACAUUCUUGUCUUCCUGCCAAGAAAUCCCGGGUUUUGGCACCAACUUUGUGGUGUACAAACAGGAGAUCAUGUUACUUUUUGUUGAAUUUGUCCUUUUUAUUCCCUAUUAUUAUACAAGCUAAAACUGAAUGAGUGGAAGAUGUAAUGAACAACAAAACAAUCAAAACUGCCAGUGAAAGAAAAAAGCACAAACCUACGCCGUUCAAGAAAAAGAAACCGCCCCCCCAGGUGUGUCCCAUCCCUAUGAUAACAGCCUGAUUGCAAUUAAUCAGCCCAGUCGCUGUCCACAACCGAGUGGCGCUGAAAGGGAAACACCUCGUUUUGGUCUACACAUCACCAUUAGAACCUCAACCCAUAUAGUUGCAACAACAGAGGUGAAUGAGUCUGGAGAUGCCGUAGUGAACAUAAUGCUGCCUGCAACAUCAUCCAGCAUGACCAGUUUGGUGGUGGGUCAGUGAUGGUUUGGGGAGGCAUAUCCUUGGAGAGUCGCACAGAUCUCCACAUGCUAGCCAAUGGUACCCUGACUGCUGUUAGGUACUGGGAUGAAAUCAGACCUUAUGCUGAUGCAGAGGGUUCCUCCAGGUGUAGGACAAUGCCCGACCUCAUGUGGCCAGAGUGUGUAGGCAAUUCUUGGAUGACGAAGGCAUUGAUGCCAUUGACUGGCCAUCACCUUCCCCAGAUGUGAAUCCUAUUGACAACCUCUGGUAUGUUAUGUAUCGGUAUAUCUGAUGCCACCAAGUAGCGCCACAGGCUGUCUAGGAGCUCACUGAUGCCCUGAUCCAGGUCUGGGAGGAGAUCCCCCAUGACACCAUCUGCCAUCUCAUCCAGAGCAUGCCCAGACAUUGUCGGGAGUACAUACAGGUACG